rnacentral:rRNA from 1 species
GAUGGUGGGGUAACGGCUCACCAUGGCGAUGAUGUCUAGGGGUUCUGAGAGGAAGACCCCCCACACUGGGACUGAGACACGGCCCAGACUCCUACGGGAGGCAGCAGUGAGGAAUAUUGGACAAUGGAUGGAAAUCUGAUCCAGCCAUGCCGCGUGCAGGAAGACGGCCCUAUGGGUUGUAAACUGCUUUUAUAUGGGAGCAAUAAGGUUUACGCGUAGACCGAUGAGAGUACCAUAUGAAUAAGCAUCGGCUAACUCCGUGCCAGCAGCCGCGGUAAUACGGAGGAUGCGAGCGUUAUCCGGAUUUAUUGGGUUUAAAGGGUGCGUAGGCGGCCUUGUAAGUCAGCGGUGAAAUUUUGCAGCUUAACUGUAACAGUGCCGUUGAUACUGCGGGGCUAGGAUUUGGUUGCUGUGGGUGGAAUGUGUGGUGUAGCGGUGAAAUGCUUAGAUAUCACACAGAAUAUCGAUUGCGAAGGCAGCUCACAAAGCCAAGAUUGACGCUGAGGCACGAAAGUGUGGGGAUCAAACAGGAUUAGAUACCCUGGUAGUCCACACUGUAAACGAUGAUAACUCGCUGCCGGCGAUACACAGUCGGUAGCCAAGCGA